CCUACGGAAGGCUGCAGUGAGGAAUAUUGGUCAAUGGUCGGGAGACUGAACCAGCCAAGCCGCGUGAGGGAUGAAGGUACAGAGUAUCGUAAACCUCUUUUGUCAGGGCACAAAGGCGGGGACGUGUCCCCGGAUGAGUGUACCUGAAGAAAAAGCAUCGGCUAACUCCGUGCCAGCAGCCGCGGUAAUACGGAGGAUGCGAGCGUUAUACGGAUUUAUUGGGUUUAAGGGGUGCGCAGGCGGUCUGGUAAGUCAGCGGUCAAAGACCGGGGCUUAACCCCGGCACGGCCUUUGAACCUGGCAGUCUCGAGUUGGAGAGAGGUAUGCGGAAUGCGCGGUGUAGCGGUGAAAUGCAUAGAUAUCGCGCAGAACUCCGAUUGCGAAGGCAGCAUGCCGGCUCCACACUGACGCUGAGGCACGAAAGCGUGGGUAUCGAACAGGAUUAGAUACCCCAGUAGUC
rnacentral:rRNA from 1 species